CCUGAGCCUAGAGCCACAUCCCGACAGAGCUCGCCCUUCCUGGCGUGCUGGAACCCUCGGAGAGAGGCUGCUGCUGAUGACUCGCUGCGGGGGUGAAGUGCCCCCUAGUGCUCCGGUCAGAAGCGUGU
rnacentral:snoRNA from 1 species